CCUAAAUACUUCAGACGACCAUCCCCCAUAAGCAUCGGCAACACACUAACCUACAUAAGGUAUGACUUGAGCUCUUUAGGCCACCAUACUGAAGCCUUAGUAGCCCAUAAGGUAUGACUUGAGCUCUUUAGGCCACCAUACUGAAGCUACAGUAGCCCACUGAUGCAAACAAGCAGUCAAGUCUGAGCAUAACCUAGUUUUUGCAUCGAAUAACUAGAUGCUUACUCAACCUUCUCA
rnacentral:lncRNA from 1 species